GUUCACAGCCAGUGGCUGCCACUGCAACACAGAAAAACUCAACCCCUAAGCCGCACUCUCUUCUUCCUCAUCUCUCAUCUCUCCAAGCGUCUUCUGUCUCUCUGUCUCUCUGUCUCUCUGUCUCGUCUUCUCUUUCGGUCGGUAAUCAAGUACUCAGGUUGAAGAAAAUGGAUUGCGCAUUCUUGGGUAUAAAUCCCAUUUUGUUCCAAGAAAGUUUUGCAGGAAAUGGGAAUGGAAAUGGUAGGGUGUCUCUGAUGGCGCGUUCUAAUUCUAGUACAAGGAGAAGACUUCCCAGCAACCUUCGCUACCCGCGGCGCACCAAACUUCCUCCGGAUUUUGGAAUCAAUCACUUGUUGAAGAACACCACAGAACCAUCAUCUCAAACGGAAUUUAAGGAAGCAGAAGCAGAAGAAGAUGGCGAAGAUAUUGCUUGGGAGGCAGAUGAGAUUGAAGCUAUUUCAUCACUUUUCCAAGGGAGGAUACCCCAAAAGCCUGGAAAGUUGGAUAGACAAAGGCCUCUCCCCCUCCCACUUCCUUACAAGCUUCGACCUUUGGGACUUCCUAGGCCGAAGAAACAUGUCAAGAUGGCACCCAUUUGUGACCAAGUCUACAAGAAUCCCAAUGCGCUUGUUGGUUUAGCAAGGGAAAUUAGAAGCCUUGGGGUAGAUGAAGAUGUGGGACUAAUUCUCAACAAGUGGGUUCCCUUUCUUAGAAAAGGGUCUCUCUCCAUGACAAUUAGGGAAUUGGGUCACAUGGGUCUCCCUGACAGAGCUCUGCAGACCUUCUCUUGGGCUCAGAAACAGCCUCACCUCUUCCCGGAUGACCGGCUUUUGGCUUCCGCUGUUGAGGUCCUGGCAAGAAACCAUGAGCUUAAACUGCCAUUCAAUUUGGACAAAUUCACAAGUUUGGCAAGUCGUGGUGUGAUUGAGGCAAUGGCAAGAGGGUUCAUCAAAGGGGGAAGCUUGCAUCUUGCUUGGAAGCUUAUAUUCAUAGCUAAGAAUAGUGGAAGAAAGUUGGAUACGAGCGUAUAUGCCAAGCUAAUACUGGAGCUUGGGAAGAACCCGGAUAAGCGCAGGCUUAUAGGGACCUUACUGGACGAGCUUGGGAAAAGAGAAGACCUGAAUUUAACCCAGCAGGAUUGUACUGCUAUUAUGAAAGUGUGCAUUAGGCUUGGAAAAUUUGAAGUUGUGGAGAGUGUUUAUGACUGGUUUAGACAAUCUGGGCAUGAUCCAAGUGUUGUUAUGUACACAACUCUGAUUCAUAGCCGCUAUUCAGAGAAGAAAUACAGGGAGGCCUUGGCUGUGGUUUGGGAAAUGGAGGCUUCAAACUGUCCCUUUGAUUUUCCAGCUUAUCGUGUGGCAAUAAAGCUUUUUGUUGCUCUGAAUGAUCUUCCAAGGGCUGUAAGAUAUAUUUCCAAGCUUAAGGAAGCAGGUUUCUCUCCGACAUAUGAUGUGUACCGGGACUUGAUUAAAAUGUACAUGGUUUCUGGGAGGCUGGCAAAGUGUAGGGAUGUAUGCAAGGAGGUAGACAUAGCAGGAUUCAAGUUAGAUAAAGAAACAAUGUCACAGUUGUUGCAAUUAGAAAGUGAGAAAAGGUUAAGUUUUUAAAAUCCGAACUUCUCUGUUGUAAGCUGUAAUUACUAAUGCCCUCAUGUAGAAGUUCUUUCUGCCCAUCUUGUUUGGGUUAUUUUUGCAUAUGCACGCUUCUCUUAUCUUUAUGGUCAUCUUCACAUAAGUUUCACAAAGCCAUCAGGGGCAUCCUUGCUUGCUCUUCGCAUUUCAUUCUCAUUUUGUAUUCUUGAUGACUAAUGGAAGUGCAUCUGUACUGUAGAUAAACUGCAGUGUGUUUUAUUUUAUUAUUUGUCCCUAGCUUUGCACAGCAUCCAGACAAUGCAUACAUACAAGUAAAAGAAGUGAGCACUCUCUAACAUGAUCG
rnacentral:lncRNA from 1 species